rnacentral:rRNA from 1 species
AAAAAACGUAACAAGGUUUCCGUAGGUGAACCU